CCCUUAGAUGUUCUGGGCCGCACGCGCGCUACACUGAUGCAUUCAACGAGUCUAAAACCUGGUCUGAUAGGGCUGGGUAAUCUUUUGAAAGUGCAUCGUGAUUGGGAUAGAUGAUUGCAAUUCUUCAUCUUCAACGAGGAAUGCCUAGUAAACGCAAGUCAUCAGCUUGCAUUGAUUACGUCCCUGCCCUUUGUACACACCGCCCGUCGCUCCUACCGAUUGAAUGAUCCGAUGAAUACCAUGGAUUGAGAGUACGAAUGGGUUCGCUCAUUUCUGCUGCUCGAGAAGUGGAGUAAAUCUUNUNAUUUAUNGGAAGGAGAANUCGUANCA
rnacentral:rRNA from 1 species